AAGGGUUUUUCUCCCCAGGUUGGAGUGGAGCACAUCGUGGUUUACCUGAACAAGGCCGAUGCCGUGACCGACCCCGAGCUCCUGGCGCUGGUGGAGCUGGAGGUGCGGGAGCUGCUCAGCGAGUUCGGCUUCGACGGGGAGAGGACCCCGGUGAUUGUGGGGUCAGCGCUCUGUGCACUGCAGGACCGUGACCCGGAGCUGGGUCUGAACUCGGUGCUGAA